rnacentral:rRNA from 1 species
GUGAGGAAUUUUCCGCAAUGGGCGAAAGCCUGACGGAGCAAUGCCGCGUGAAGGAUGAAGGCCUAUGGGUUGUAAACUUCUUUUCUCAGAAAAGAAUUAUGACGGUAUCUGAGGAAUAAGCAUCGGCUAACUCUGUGCCAGCAGCCGCGGUAAGACAGAGGAUGCAAGCGUUAUCCGGAAUGAUUGGGCGUAAAGCGUCUGUAGGUUGUUUAAAAAGUAUUCUGUCAAAGAUUAGGGCUUAACCCUAGAUAGGCAGAAUAAACUUUUAAGCUAGAGUUAGGGAGAGGCAGAGGGAAUUCCCGGUGGAGCGGUGAAAUGCGUAGAUAUCGGGAGGAACACCAAAGGCGAAGGCACUCUGCUGGGCCAAUACUAACACUGAGAGACGAAAGCGAGGGGAGCAAAUGGGAUUAGAUACCCUAGUAGUCC